AACGAACGCUGGCGGCAUGCCUAACACAUGCAAGUCGAACGAGACCUUCGGGUCUAGUGGCGCACGGGUGCGUAACGCGUGGGAACCUGCCCUUAGGUUCGGAAUAACUCCCCGAAAGGGGUGCUAAUACCGGAUAAUGUCUUCGGACCAAAGAUUUAUCGCCUUUGGAUGGGCCCGCGUUGGAUUAGCUAGUUGGUAGGGUAAAAGCCUACCAAGGCGACGAUCCAUAGCUGGUCUGAGAGGAUGAUCAGCCACACUGGGACUGAGACACGGCCCAGACUCCUACGGGAGGCAGCAGUGGGGAAUAUUGGACAAUGGGCGAAAGCCUGAUCCAGCAAUGCCGCGUGAGUGAUGAAGGCCUUAGGGUUGUAAAGCUAUUUUACCCGGGAUGAUAAUGACAGUACCGGGAGAAUAAGCGCCGGCUAAAUCCGUG
rnacentral:rRNA from 1 species